AAAUUGAAGAGUUUGAUCAUGGCUCAGAUUGAACGCUGGCGGCAGGCCUAACACAUGCAAGUCGAACGGUAACAGGAAACAGCUUGCUGUUUCGCUGACGAGUGGCGGACGGGUGAGUAAUGUCUGGGAAACUGCCUGAUGGAGGGGGAUAACUACUGGAAACGGUAGCUAAUACCGCAUAACGUCGCAAGACCAAAGAGGGGGACCUUCGGGCCUCUUGCCAUCGGAUGUGCCCAGAUGGGAUUAGCUAGUAGGUGGGGUAACGGCUCACCUAGGCGACGAUCCCUAGCUGGUCUGAGAGGAUGACCAGCCACACUGGAACUGAGACACGGUCCAGACUCCUACGGGAGGCAGCAGUGGGGAAUAUUGCACAAUGGGCGCAAGCCUGAUGCAGCCAUGCCGCGUGUAUGAAGAAGGCCUUCGGGUUGUAAAGUACUUUCAGCGGGGAGGAAGGGAGUAAAGUUAAUACCUUUACUCAUUGACGUUACCCGCAG
rnacentral:rRNA from 1 species